rnacentral:lncRNA from 1 species
UUUAUUAUUAUUAUUAUUAUUAUUAUUAUUAUUAUGGGCAAUUAUUUAUAUAUUUUUGAAAGGGUCCAUUGCAUACAGAUCCUCGCAAAUAUAGUGAAUUACAUAUAUAUUUCUGUAAAGUUUAACUUUUAUAAGUUAUCUCUAUAAAAGUUCUAAUGUUUUCAAUUAUGUUCCAAUCAUUAGAAUCCGUUAAAAAAGUUUAGUUAAUCAUAAUUCAUAGAUUAAAUACUUUAUCCGAAUUAAUUUUUGACAUUUUUAUCUCUCUUAAAUUAUAUUGUUGUAACUUUUAGAGGGACAUAUUUAUAAUAGUAAAAUUAAAAAUAUAAACAGUUUUCUAAUGAUUCUCUAGCAGUAACAAACUAGAGGGACAUAUUUGAAAAUAUUAGGACAGAGCUAAAAAAUAUAUUAUUUUUUUUAUUUUUUCAAAUAUAAUAUUUUAUCAUUAAAAUUUUUCUUAUUUGUUCUUAAGUUAAGGACAAAAUCGAUAUUUUAAUUUUUUUGGAUAAACUUCAAAUGUCACUCCUAUAGUUUUAUACUUCUCACUUUAGUACCCUGUAAUUUAAAUUGUAUCAAUUUAGUAUCCUGUGAUUUUAUUUUUUUUUCUUUUGUCAGCUAUUCGUUAACAUUUCGUUAAAUUAUAUAGAAAAAUUUUCAGAUACCCCACUUAGAUUUAUCGAAUAUUUACUUUAGUAUUUUUUAGUUUUAAUUUUAUUACUAAUUCAAAGAAAAAAAAUUAGUGGAGGAAAUAAUAAAAAAUAAAAUCAUGGAGUGCUAAAUUGAUACACUUUGCUUCGUUUGGGAUUGCGGGAGAUUGCGUUACGUGCGGUGAGAAACGACGAUGGAAAAAUACUAUGUUUGUUUCCGUAUGUAAUAUUGUAUUCCGCAUAUUGCGGUUAGUCGGUUACGAUAUAUUUUCUGCGGUCCCAUCAGAGAACGUAGAAGUAUAUCUCUAUAUACUUUUUCUUAACUCCAUUCUAUCUAAUAGUGUUAGAUAAACCUCAAUAUCAAACUAAGUCUUAAACUAUAGGGUACUAAAAUAAAAAAAAAAUCUGAAAAAAUUUUAAAAUUUGAAAAUUGAAAUUAAAAUUUUGAAAUUUUAAUUUUCCUAUAUACCUAUAGGGAAAAUUUUGAAAAUUGAAAUUAAAAUAUCCCUAUAUACUUUUUUUCUUUUUUAAAAUUUUGAUAGAAUUUUUAACCCGCAAUAU